rnacentral:lncRNA from 1 species
UGAAGCUGUAACCUUCUGCUGGGGCCGGGGCCGAAGUUUUUCCGCCAGAGCAAGGAAGGCUGCCCCUGGCAGCAACUGCACUCCUUCCUUACUCCUGUUGAGAUUCAUUUUAUAGUAGGAAAUAGGCAUCUAACUACCAUACAAGUUCAGACCAAUGGAAGAAAAGAGCAGCAAAAAUUGAACUGAAUGAAUCCCAAAAGCAAGAAAUUAAAGACGCCUUUAAUUUAUUUGAUAUUGAUGGGUCUGGAACCAUCGAUGUAAAAGAAGGAAAUGCUUGAUGAAGCUGAUCAUGAUAGAGAUGGAGAAAUAAACGAGGAAGAUGUUUUGAGAGUGAUGAAAAAGACUACUCGUUAUUAAUAGCGUUGUUUUAGUCCUUGUGGAA